rnacentral:rRNA from 1 species
GGUUAAUACCCUGAGUAGAUGACGGUACCGGAAUAAGAAGCACCGGCUAACUACGUGCCAGCAGCCGCGGUAAUACGUAGGGUGCGAGCGUUAAUCGGAAUUACUGGGCGUAAAGCGUGCGCAGGCGGUUUUGUAAGACAGGCGUGAAAUCCCCGGGCUCAACCUGGGAACUGCGUUUGUGACUGCAAGGCUAGAGUAUGGCAGAGGGGGGUGGAAUUCCACGUGUAGCAGUGAAAUGCGUAGAGAUGUGGAGGAACACCGAUGGCGAAGGCAGCCCCCUGGGCCAAUACUGACGCUCAUGCACGAAAGCGUGGGUAGCAAACAGGAUUAGAUACCCUGGUAGUCCACGCCCUAAACGAUGUCAACUAGGUGUUGGGAGGGUAAAACCUUUUAGUGCCGUAGCUAAC